rnacentral:misc_RNA from 1 species
AUGAAGGAGAUCAAAUAGCCAAUUUUUGCAAUUUUUGUGAAGAUGUAGAAAAGAUUUCAAAAUUUACGAAGUGAUCGUGACUUUUGUUUUUGUAGUUGUAUUUGCAUGGAUUAAUUUCAGAGUUUGUUUUGUGUGUAGUUAUCAUUCUAAAUGUGAAUAUGUGCGAGUACGAGUAUAACGUAUUUGAUAUUACAAGAACGAUUAUAAGUGAUAUAUACGGACAUGAUUUUAUUUUAUGUGUAUGAUUUACAAACGAUGUGUUAUAACAAAGAUGGAUUGUAUAUAUACAGUGAUAUUGCUUUAUAGCUGAAAUCAGGUAGAAAUUUUCGACAUUUUUGACUCAUUUCUCUUAACACUUGUUUGUGAUUAGAACAUUGAAUUUGUAAUAAAAAGGAAAAACCAUUAAAUAAUGUAGGAAACCUUU